UUUGACUGGGGCGGUCUCCUCCCAAAGCGUAACGGAGGAGCACGAAGGUUAGCUAAUCCUGGUCGGACAUCAGGAGGUUAGUGCAAUGGCAUAAGCUAGCUUGACUGCGAGCGUGACGGCGCGAGCAGGUGCGAAAGCAGGUCAUAGUGAUCCGGUGGUUCUGAAUGGAAGGGCCAUCGCUCAACGGAUAAAAGGUACUCCGGGGAUAACAGGCUGAUACCGCCCAAGAGUUCAUAUCGACGGCGGUGUUUGGCACCUCGAUGUCGGCUCAUCACAUCCUGGGGCUGAAGUAGGUCCCAAGGGUAUGGCUGUUCGCCAUUUAAAGUGGUACGCGAGCUGGGUUUAGAACGUCGUGAGACAGUUCGGUCCCUAUCUGCCGUGGGCGCUGGAGAAUUGAGGGGGGCUGCUCCUAGUACGAGAGGACCGGAGUGGACGCAUCACUGGUGUUCGGGUUGUCAUGCCAAUGGCACUGCCCGGUAGCUAAAUGCGGAAGAGAUAAGUGCUGAAAGCAUCUAAGCACGAAACUUGCCCCGAGAUGAGUUCUCCCUGAGACUUUAAGUCUCCUGAAGGAACGUUGAAGACGACGACGUUGAUAGGCCGGGUGUGUAAGCGCAGCGAUGCGUUGAGCUAACCGGUACUAAUGAACCGUGAGGCUUAACCUU
rnacentral:rRNA from 1 species